AGAGUUUGAUCAUGGCUCAGGAUGAACGCUAGCGGCAGGCCUAAUACAUGCAAGUCGAGGGGCAGCAGGGAUAGCAAUAUUCGCUGGCGACCGGCGCACGGGUGCGUAACACGUAUACAAUCUGCCUUUAACAGGGGGGAUAGCCCGGAGAAAUCCGGAUUAAUACCCCAUAACACUUUAGUUAGCAUUAACAGAAGUUGAAAGCUCCGGCGGUUAAAGAUGAGUAUGCGUCUGAUUAGCUAGUUGGUGAGGUAACGGCUCACCAAGGCGACGAUCAGUAGGGGAUCUGAGAGGAUUAACCCCCACACGGAUACUGAGACACGGAUCCGACUCCUACGGGAGGCAGCAGUAAGGAAUAUUGGACAAUGCCCGCAAGGGUGAUCCAGCCAUGCCGCGUGCAGGAAGACGGCCCUAUGGGUUGUAAACUGCUUUUACACCGGAGAAAACCCCCCUACGUGUAGGGGGCUGAUAGUAUGGUGAGAAUAAGCAUCGGCUAACUUCGUGCCAGCAGCCGCGGUAAGACGAAGGAUGCAAGCGUUAUCCGGAUUCAUUGGGUUUAAAGGGAGCGUAGGUGGACUGAUAAGUCAGUGGUGAAAUCUUUGGGCUUAACCCAAAAAUUGCCAUUGAUACUGUUGGUCUUGAGUAUAGUUGCCGUUGGCGGAAUAUGACAUGUAGUGGUGAAAUACAUAGAGAUGUCAUAGAACACCGAUUGCGAAGGCAGCUGACGAAACUAUAACUGACACUGAGGCUCGAAAGUGUGGGGAUCAAACAGGAUUAGAUACCCUAGUAGUCC
rnacentral:rRNA from 1 species